rnacentral:rRNA from 1 species
AAACUCCGCAAUGCGGGCAACCGUGACGGGGCCACCCCGAGUGCCCCGAAGAGGGGCUUUUCCCCGCUGUAAGDGUCGGGGGAAUAAGCG